rnacentral:RNase_P_RNA from 1 species
UAGGCAGGUCGAACGGUCGCUGGCUCAGUAUUUUUGGGCGGGAGGAAAGUCCGAACUCCACAGGGUAAUGUGCCCCGUAACACGGGGGACUCAUAGGCUUCUAUGAGUACCGAAAGUGCAACAGAAAAUAUACCGCCUUGAAAGAUGACAAGGGUUGGUUAAAAUCUUCUUACGAGGUAAGGGUGAAAUGGUGUGGUAAGAGCACACCGGGUGCUCUGUAAAGAGCAUGCCUGGCAAACCUCACAUGGAGCAAGUUCAAAUAGGGAUGGAGGCGUUACCCGCGCCGAUUGACAUCCGGGUAGAAUGCACGACCUAGAGGGCAACUUCUAGGCUAGAGGAAUGACCGUUACCUUUAAUCAAGGUACAGAAUUCGGCUUAUAGACCUGCCUUUUUU